rnacentral:rRNA from 1 species
ACUUAAAGCGAUUCAGCGGGUUACGAUUGACGGAGCGAAGCGACGUCAAAGCGUAUACAAAGUCGAGUCGGUUUAAGGAUACGUUCGUUGGGUAGGGGAGCGUUCUGUAAGCCUGUGAAGGUGGCCUGUGAGGGUUGCUGGAGGUAUCAGAAGUGCGAAUGCUGACAUAAGUAACGAUAAAGCGGGUGAAAAGCCCGCUCGCCGGAAGACCAAGGGUUCCUGUCCAACGUUAAUCGGGGCAGGGUGAGUCGACCCCUAAGGCGAGGCCGAAAGGCGUAGUCGAUGGGAAACGGGUUAAUAUUCCCGUACUUGGUGUUACUGCGAAGGGGGGACGGAGAAGGCUAUGUUGGCCGGGCGACGGUUGUCCCGGUUUAAGCGUGUAGGUGUGUGUUCCAGGUAAUCCGGUUCACUUUAACACUGAGGCGUGAUGACGAGGCACUACGGUGCUGAAGCAACAAAUGCCCUGCUUCCAGGAAAAGCCUCU